rnacentral:rRNA from 1 species
UACGAAGGGGGCUAGCGUUGCUCGGAAUCACUGGGCGUAAAGCGCACGUAGGUGGCGCGCUAAGUCAGGUGUGAAAUCUCGGGGCUUAACUCCGAAACUGCAUUUGAUACUGGCGUGCUUGAGGACUGGAGAGGAGACUGGAAUUUACGGUGUAGCAGUGAAAUGCGUAGAGAUCGUAAGGGAGACCAGUGGCGAAGGCGGGUCUCUGGACAGUUCCUGACACUGAGGCACGAAGGCCAGGGGAGCAAACGGG